ACGCUGGCGGUAGGCUUAACACAUGCAAGUCGUGCGAGAAAGUAUCUUCGGAUAUGAGUAGAGCGGCGGACGGGUGAGUAACGCGUAGGAAUCUACCUAGUAGAAGGGGAUAGCCCGGGGAAACUCGGAUUAAUACCGUAUACCUCCUUCGGGAGAAAGAAGGCCUCUCUUUGAAGCUUUCGCUACUAGAUGAGCCUGCGUAAGAUUAGCUUGUUGGUGAGCUUUUAGCUCACCAAGGCGACGAUCUUUAGCGGGUCUGAGAGGACGAUCCGCCACAUUGGGACUGAGACACGGCCCAGACUCCUACGGGAGGCAGCAGUGGGGAAUAUUGGACAAUGGGCGCAAGCCUGAUCCAGCCAUACCGCGUGUGUGAAGAAGGCCCUAGGGUUGUAAAGCACUUUAAGUUGGGAAGAAAAGUUAUUGGUUAAUACCCAAUAGCCGUGACAUUACCAUCAGAAUAAGGACCGGCUAAUUCCGUGCCAGCAGCCGCGGUAAUACGGAAGGUCCAAGCGUUAAUCGGAAUUACUGGGCGUAAAGCGCGCGUAGGUGGUUUAUUAAGUUGGAUGUGAAAUCCCCGGGCUCAACCUGGGAACUGCAUCCAAAACUGAUUCACUAGAGUACGAUAGAGGGAGGUAGAAUUCACAGUGUAGCGGUGGAAUGCGUAGAUAUUGUGAAGAAUACCAAUGGCGAAGGCAGCCUCCUGGAUCUGUACUGACACUGAGGUGCGAAAGCGUGGGUAGCGAACAGGAUUAGAUACCCUGGUAGUCCACGCCGUAAACGAUGUCAACUAGCUGUUGGGGAACUAUGUUCUUCAGUGGCGCAGCUAACGUAGUAAGUUGACC
rnacentral:rRNA from 1 species